GGGUGACUGCGUACCUUUUGUAUAAUGGGUCAGCGACUUAUAUUUUGUAGCGAGGUUAACCGGAUAGGGGAGCCGAAGGGAAACCGAGUCUUAACUGGGCGGUUAGUUGCAAGAUAUAGACCCGAAACCCGGUGAUCUAGCCAUGGGCAGGAAGAAGGUUGGGUAACACUAACUGGAGGGCCGAACCGACUACUGUUGAAAAAGUAGCGGAUGACCUGUGGCUGGGGGUGAAAGGCCAAUCAAACCGGGAGAUAGCUGGUUCUCCCCGAAAUCUAUUUAGGUAGAGCCUUAUAUGAAUACCUUCGGGGGUAGAGCACUGUUUCGGCUAGGGGUCCAUCCCGGAUUACCAACCCGAUGCAAACUGCGAAUACCGAAGAGUAAUGUAUAGGAGACACACGGCGGGUGCUAACGUUCGUCGUGGAGAGGGAAACAACCCAGACCGCCAGCUAAGGUCCCAAAGUCUAUAUUAAGUGGGAAACGAAGUGGAAAGGCUUAGACAGCUAGGAUGUUGGCUUAGAAGCAGCCAUCAUUUAAAGAAAGCGUAAUAGCUCACUAGUCGAGUCGGUCUGCGCGGAAGAUGUAACGGGGCUAAAAUAUAGCACCGAAGCUGCGGCAUCAGGCGUAUCACACAUACGCCUUACGAUUAACACCUUGCGAAGCAAGGUGGUCAAGCGACUUACACGUUGAGGUGUGAGCGGGAGGGAUAAUCGAAGAGAGGAAUAUGUGUGAUACGUCUGUUGGGUAGGGGAGCGUUGUGUAAGCUGAAGAAGGUGGUUCGAGAGGGCUGCUGGAGGUAUCACAAGUGCGAAUGCUGACAUAAGUAACGAUAAAGCGGGUGAAAGGCCCGCUCGCCGGAAGACCAAGGUUUCCUGUCCAACGUUAAUCGGGGCAGGGUGAGUCGGCCCCUAAGGCGAGGCUGAGAAGCGUAGUCGAUGGGAAAUGGGUUAAUAUUCCCAUACUUGGAUAAACUGCGAUGUGGGGACGGAGCAGGUUAGGUUAGCGUACGGAUGGAAGAGUACGUUUAAGUUGGUAGGUGGG
rnacentral:rRNA from 1 species